rnacentral:lncRNA from 1 species
GCAAUAAGGUAAAAGACGAUCUCUUAAACUAAAGAAAAAAACAAUAAGAUUUUUGAACCAUAUAAAACACACUAAUCUUAAUAUGCCCAAAAAAAGAGUGAAUGUAUGGGUUUUUUUUUUUUAAGUGAGUUUAAGGUUAAAAGGUAGUGGAUUCAAUUUUUCCCAUAGAUUUUGGCAAAGAAGAGACUGCGACUACUACUAAAAAUCAAUCUCUGACAGGCUGACACAUAAUUGUGUUCAAGUCACGCUCCCCUCACAGCUGGGAACAUUAUCAUCACUUCAUCUCACCAUCACCAUGUGCAUUUAUGUGCUCAUCACUCUCACAUA